rnacentral:guide_RNA from 1 species
AAAUAAACGAUCAGAUGCGUCAUGUAUAGAAUAGAAGUGAUAAUUU